rnacentral:rRNA from 1 species
UGAGGAAUAUUGGUCAAUGGAGGAAACUCUGAACCAGCCAAGUCGCGUGAAGGAAGAAUGUCCUAAGGAUUGUAAACUUCUUUAGCGAGUGAGUAAGGACUUCCACGCGUUGGGAGUUUGAAAGUAGCUCGAGAAUAAGUAUCGGCUAACUCCGUGCCAGCAGCCGCGGUAAUACGGAGGAUACGAGCGUUAUCCGGAUUUAUUGGGUUUAAAGGGUGCGCAGGUGGUCCUGCAAGUCAGUAGUGAAAAGCUGAGGCUCAACCUCAGCCUUGCCGUUGAAACUGCAAGACUUGAGAGUACAUGAUGUGGGCGGAAUGCGUAGUGUAGCGGUGAAAUGCAUAGAUAUUACGCAGAACUCCGAUUGCGAAGGCAGCUCACAAAGGUAUGUCUGACACUGAGGCACGAAAGCGUGGGGAGCAAACAGG